CUAAAUCCAUUAAUUUAAAAACUAGGUUAUGUAAAGGAUUGAACAACAUUCUCCAUUACUUUAUUUCAAAGCUGUAUGCUCUCCCUUUGUGAUCCUUGGAAUUCUGCACACAGGAAAUGACCUUUUUAAGGUUCCAAAACUGUCAGCUCACAACAAGCAAGGCUUAGAAAAAGCAUACAUCGUCUCUGUUAUUGUAUUUAUCUCUUGUUUUAAUUCCUUAUUUUGUAAUUCACUCCUUUUGAAGGUUUCAGAAUGAAAUAGCAUUGUGUUUAAAAAAAAAAAAGCAAGACAAAGCUGGAUCUGGAGCUAAGAAUGGUCUUAUAUCAAAUUUCAAGUCCAGGCAAAAGAGAUCUGAAAUAAGCUUCAAGACUGAAUCCAUGUCACAACCAAAGUCAACAGCAAUGCCUUCAGUGAGACGAUUUCAUGCCAAAUGCUUCCUGAGCUGAUGUUUCAAGAGUUUUGAAGUUUACUCAUCUCUAGUCUCUAAUGAUCCAAGAAUCUGUCUACUUUCUUUUCUAUUCUAAGGCACUACUGUCAGUGAUGUGAACAACAGUUUCAUGGGAAAAAAUAAGAAAACUAUGAUUGCAAGUCUUAAAUGUGUGAGUCAAGGA